UGUGGAAAUGCGAAACGGUCGCCAGAUGACCAAUCCAUCCACCCACGGUGGGCUUUCUUUUUCACCA